rnacentral:rRNA from 1 species
ACGCUCGACACCUACGGGAGCAGCAGUGGGGAAUAUUGCACAAUGGGGGAAACCCUGAUGCAGCGACGCCGCGUGAAGGAAGAAGUAUCUCGGUAUGUAAACUUCUAUCAGCAGGGAAGAAAGUGACGGUACCUGACUAAGAAGCCCCGGCUAACUACGUGCCAGCAGCCGUGGUAAUCUGAGCGGGCUGGCAAGGC